rnacentral:misc_RNA from 1 species
AAGUCGUAACAAGGUUUCCGUAGGUGAACCUGCGGAAGGAUCAUUAACACAUCAAUUUCAAACUAUACCUCCGUCGCAUAGAACGAUAUCGCAAGAGUGACGUGCUUGAGAGCUAUGGUGCGAGUCCUCGAUUUGUUUCGAGGACUGGCUCUCUUGGACUGCUGCCGGGUGCGUUCGGGCCUAGCUGCUUUGGACGCAUGCAGUCGCUGAGGGCUAAAACCCUUGGUGGCGAGAGGCCAAAAUCACAAUUGUCGGUAAUUCAGCCUCCCCAUGGCUGGCCUUUUUUUUAAACCUGAAUUUUGAACUGAUUUCGGCUUUGGAUCGAGAGGAGCAAUCCUUUCUCUGAGGUCUUCGGAUUUUUAAUCCAAAACACAACUCUUAACAGCGGAUAUCUCGGUUCUC